CCAAAACUUAAAAACUCACCCUUUUGCAGCAGCUUGAAGAUCCUCUGAGAUUUGAAUGGGAUUUAACAUAGGUUUCUCUCAUCGAAAGGGGGUAAAUCAAUGUAGAAAGGGUUUUUGAAUUGAAGAAGAUAGAUCGGAUGAGUUUUUGCAGAUCCAGACCCAUUUUACCCUUAGCUUUCACUCAAUCUUAGCCGUUUGCGCCAGUAAGAACACUUGUCGCCAGAUUAAAGAGAAAUUGCACCCAAUUGCAUCAUUUGGGAACUGGAGAGAUGUUCAGUUCAGCCUCUUCGCUUUCGGAGUCAGCUCAUGAAUUUGGGUUCAAACUGUCUUAAGUUCUUAUCGAACCUCCCCUGCUCCCACCCUCCAUCUCCUUCUCAGUCUCCCAUUCUCCCUCAUUCAUGAAACGAGCCCCCAUAGAGGCUGCGAAGAUAAUAAGCAAUGCUCUCAUAUCUGCUUCGAUUCGUUCGAGACCGACUCGUUCAUGGAGCCCUUUACUCGAGCAGACUCUCCACCAACUCGGUUGCCGUGACUCUCUCACUCCGUCACUCGUUGCCCGGGUCAUUGAUCCGUUCCUCCUCGACCACCAUUCACUUGCUAUCGGUUUCUUCAACUGGGUUUCUCAGCGGCCUGGAUUCUCACACACUGCAGUUACCUAUCAAUCUCUUCUUAAAUCCCUCUCAAUUUCACGCCAAUUCAACUCUGUUGAUAAACUCCUCAAACAGAUCAAAACCCAGAAGAUCAUUGUCGACCCAUCCGUCUAUCGAUCUGUAAUUGCUUCACAAAUCAUUGGUAAGAAAGCUCAGAGUGCCUUUUUAGUCUUCAAUGAAGUUAAAGAAUUAGUUCAUAAAAUAGGGUCUGAUACGUGUAAUUCGCUACUUGCUGCCCUUGCCUCCGAUGGGUGUAUUGAUUCUGCAAAAGAGGUGUUUGAUGAAAUGGGUUCUAGAAGUAUUCCUUUGAGUACUCUGGGAUUUGGUGUGUUUAUUGGGAGAUUUUGUAGAACUGCAGAAUUGGACGAGACCUUGGGUUUGUUAGAUGGGAUUAAGCAUGGCAUUUGGGAGAUGAAUGGAUCGAUUGUAGCACUUUUAAUAGUUGAUGGGCUUUGCAGAGUGUCUAGGAUAUCAGAGGCUUUCAAGGUAUUGGAGGAGCUCCGGAGCAGAGCGUGUAAACCUGAUUUUAUGGCAUACAGGAUAGUAGCUGAAGCAUUUCGUUCUGUAGGGGAACUAGAGAAAACUGAGGUGGUCUUGAAGAAGAAGAGAAAGCUAGGGGUGGCACCUAGGGAGAAAGAUUAUAGAGAAUUUAUCUUUGCUUUGAUUUCAGAAAGGCGGGUACAGGAAGUAAAAGAAUUGGGUGAAGUUAUUGUUAGUGGGAAUUUUCCAAUUGAGGAGGAUGUUCUCAAUGCUUUGAUAGGAUCAGUCUCUUCCAUUGAUCCCGAGUGUGCAAUCAUGUUCUUUAAGUCUAUGCUUGGGCAAGGAAGGUUACCAACUCUUCUUACUUUGAGCAAUUUGAGUAGAAAUCUAAGUAAAAGGGGCAUGAUUGAUGAGAUGUUGCAGGUUUUUCAGGUUCUUUCUUCAAAGGAUUACUUCUCAGAUUUGGAGAGUUACAAUUUGAUGGUUUCUUUCCUGUGUAAGGCAGGGAGAGUGAAGGAAGCCUAUGCUGUUCUUGGGGAAAUGAGGAGAAGAGGUUUUGGUCCAGAUGUCUCUGUUUUUAAUUCUCUAAUGGAAGCUUGCUGUAGAGAAGAUCUCUUGCGUCCUGCAAAGAGGCUGUGGGAUGAAAUGUUUGCCAGUGGGUGUCCUGGAAACCUGAGGACUUACAACAUUCUUAUUCAGAAGUUCUCAGAAACAGGUGAGGUUGAAGAAGCUCAGCACCUUUUUCACCACAUGUUGGGGAAAGGAGUGUCUCCUGAUGCCACAACAUACACAUCCGUCCUUGAAGGACUUUGUCGAGAAGCAAAGGCCGAAGCUGCUUGUGAGACCUUCAACAAGUGUGUUGACCAGGAUGCUUUGCUUGCACGAACAAUAUUAAGUCGAUUAGUGCUUUCUCUAUGCAAGGGAGGUCACUUUGUGGCAGCCUCAAGGGUAGUCCGUCGUAUCGGUCCUCAUCCAGAAAUUUCCAACUCUCAUGUAAUUUUACUGAGGUGUUUAGUGGAUGCUGGAGAGUUCAAGAUCGCGAUAGAACAUGUAAAAUGGGUCAGGGACACUUCACCCUCAAUAUUAAGAGCAGUAUUUUCUGAACUUCAAGCAUCUCUUACUUCUUCUUUAAAUCCAGAGCCGAUCCUACAACUGCUUUCUAAAAUAAAGGAACCUCUAGUUUCUAAUAAUGAUACUUGGGUGGAUGUUAUGCAAGGGAGAAUUUAAAGGAUCCUAGAAAUAAAGUGUGAUUGCCCAUUAUUCAGUGGAUGAGUAUCAAAUAUAGAUGUGGAUCCCUUCUAAUAUGAGAAAAGGGCUAAACUGCAUUUAUCUUGUUUAUUUUUAUGGAUGAACGAUGUAAUUUUUAUUAAUUGAGGGAAAGAAAGGAGCAGAAAACCCAAUCUGGAAGGGAUUGAGCAUCAGCAGAGAGAAGGAGAGAUAAUAGCAGGUGGAGUCAGCAGCCAGAUCACAUGUGAUUGUCCUUCUAACUGGUAUGAAGGAUAACUUUGUUAAGUGAACCUGCGAUGGACUUGAUAUUCCAGACUACAAUCUCAAAUUUCCAAGACCUUGUUCCUGGUUGUUCAGAUGUGAGAUUUAAUGUUGCAGAAUCACUUUCAAUGUCAAAGACUCAACCUCAAACAUCUAUGACUUUUGCUUGGAGAACAUAGUGGACGGGGGCUACAAUUGAUGCUCUUGCAAAGUCACGAAUGCAGCUCUGAUACCAUUUUUUUAUAGCAACAUCACUUUCUACUUAACCAACUGGGGCUGAGUUCAUUACCAAUGGAUGAAAUCCUAGGUUUGAAAUUUGAUGAUGGGUUAUCAAGAUUCUCCCUUGCUGCUAACAGCUCAAUGUGAAUGGCAUUGCAUCUACCUAUUGUUAUUUCAAACGUAAUAGUAUGAAGACUGCAAAGGUGCAAGGGAUAUCCGUGACUAGCAAGGACGUUAAGACUGAGAAGCUUCAUGAACACUUCAAUAGUGGCAGUGAACAUCUCAUCUCAUUGCCUUUAGAAGCAGUGGCAGCCUGAGGAAUGGAAAUGCAUACGCUUGUGGCUGAGGUUGACAAUGUGGCAACGUCAAGCAUCAGCAAUGAUAGCAGCUCAAGGGAAUUUGGUCCCUUUGGAAGAUGAAAGGGUAAACUAGGAGUUAAUUGAAGCUUAAGGAAGUUGGUGUAUGUUGCACUUGAUGAUACUGGUCGUUGGGGCAUUUUUUUUCUUGGUUGCAUGGGGGCUCUUUGAUUUUGUAGAGGUCUGGGAUUUUGGUGGGCAAGAGAAGUUAAAGGACGUCAUGGGCAACAUACUAUCGUGGGACUCGUGCUAUCGUUGCGGUGAUAGACAGCACCAAUCAUGCAAGGAUCAGUAUUUUGAAGGAUGAACUCUUUCGAUUGUUCCAACAUGAGGAUCUUGAACAUUCAGUCAUUCUUGUCUUUGCAAACAAGCAAGACCUCAAGGAUGCGAUGUCCCCAGCUGACAUCACUGAUGCCCUUUCACUUCACAGUAUCAACAAUCAUGAUUGGCACAUCCAAGCUUCUUGUGCCCUCACAGGAGAAGGGUUAUAUGAUGCUUUGGAGUGAAUAGCACAACAUGUGACUGAUAAGGGCGAGAAAUAGCACAUGCCCCUAUUCCUAUCGUGGGUGCUGAGGAAGGAGAACAACUUGUUUUGUGUACAAUUCAUAUGAGCUUUCCAUAAGCAGAUUAAUAGAAUGUAUUUUCACUUUGAUUGACUUUGAAGCAAGUAAAGAUUUUCAUUUCUUACCCAA